GAUGAACGCUGGCGGCGUGCCUAAUACAUGCAAGUCGAGCGAACAGACGAGGAGCUUGCUCCUCUGACGUUAGCGGCGGACGGGUGAGUAACACGUGGAUAACCUACCUAUCAGACUGGGAUCACUUCGGGAAACCGGCGCUAAUACCGGAGAAUAUAUUGAACCGCAUGGUUCAAUAGUGAAAGACGGCUUUGCUGUCUCUUCUAGAUGGAUCCGCGCCGCAUUAGCUAGUUGGUAAGGUAACGGCCUACCAAGGGAACGAUGCGUAGCCGACCGGAGAGAGGGGUAGGCCACAUGGGAGCGGGGCCACGGUCCUGAGUCCUGCGGUAGGCAGCAGUCGCGAACCGUCCGCAACGGUGGAAAGCCUGACGGAGCGAGGGCGCGUGAGUGGUGAAAGUCUUGCGAUCGUAAAACUGGGUUAUGAGGGAAGAACAAAUGUGUAAGUAACUAUGCACGUCGUGACGGUACCUAGUAAGAAAGCCACGGCUAACUACGUG
rnacentral:rRNA from 1 species